rnacentral:rRNA from 1 species
GGGCAGCCAAGUCGUGAGGCGGAGCUAAUCCCUUAAAGCCAUUCUCAGUUCGGAUUGUAGGCUGAAACUCGCCUACAUGAAGCUGGAGUUACUAGUAAUCGCAGAUCAGAAUGCUGCGGUGAAUGCGUUCCCGGGUCUUGUACACACCGCCCGUCACACCACGGAAGUUGGAGGCGCCCGAAGCCACUUAGCUAACCCUUUUGGGAAGCGAGUGUCGAAGGUGAAAUCAAUAACUGGGGUGAAGUCGUAACAAGGUACC